GCCUUCUAAAAAUUCUAAGUUCUGUUCUCCAUUCUUGACAGUAGCUAAAAGCUUGAACUUCAAGCAUUUUUCCUUCAUAUUUUACCCGGGUAUAAUACGUUGCUGCUGGUGCUCUGUUUGAAAUUCUUACUUUACCCGGUUAAAGUGUGUUGAAACUCCAACAUAGAUAGCAGAAUUUGGCCGCCAAAUCUGAAAAAAAUAACAGAUUGAUAAAGAAACUUUAAGGAUAAAAUGGUAAAAUAAUAAAUGGAAGUUCAACCAGUGAGCUUACUGCUGCUGAAAGCUCCAGUUGAUUUUUGGGAUAGCAGUGUGGUGAGAAU
rnacentral:lncRNA from 1 species